UGUAGACCUGGGCUCACUGUCUGUGUCCUUGUACAAGACACUUUUAUCUGAAUUGUCUCAGUCCACCCAGCUGUAAGUGGGUACCGGCCUUGGCUGGGGAAGUAACCUGUGCUGGACUGGCGUCCCAUCCAGGUGGAGUCGUGGACUCUCAUCU